rnacentral:rRNA from 1 species
GACGAACCGUGCGAACGUUGUUCGGAUUCACUGGGCUUAAAGGGCGCGUAGGCGGCGCGACAAGUCGGGGUGAAAUCUUCCGGCCCAACCGGAAAAGGGCCCCCGAUACUGGCGCGCUGGAGGGAGGUAGGGGCAUGUGGAACUCCAGGUGGAGCGGUGAAAUGCGUAGAUAUCUGGAGGAACGCCGGUGGCGAAAGCGACGUGCUGGACCUUCACUGACGCUGAGGCGCGAAAGCCAGGGGAGCAAACGGG